AGUAGUUUGAUCAGUGGCUCGAGGACGAACGCUGGCGGCGUGCUUAACACAUGCAAGUCGAACGGGGACUUCGGUCCUAGUGGCAAACGGGUGAGUAACGCGUAGGCAAUCUGCCGCAAAGUUGGGGACAACAGUCCGAAAGGGCUGCUAAUACCGAAUGUUGUACAAAUUUCGCAUGGAGUUUGUAUUAAAGAUUUAUCGCUUUGCGAGGAGCCUGCGUCCGAUUAGGUAGUUGGUAAGGUAACGGCUUACCAAGCCGACGAUCGGUAACCGGUCUGAGAGGAUGAACGGUCACAUUGGAACUGAGACACGGUCCAGACUCC
rnacentral:rRNA from 1 species